AUCCCAUGCCCAAACCGAAAAGUCUUGGGUGCUUAUGCAAACGGUCGGCACAUGGUGAAAUGUGGAAAGCGGGAGAAGUGGCGGGGGAAAACGUGGAAUGGCUGAAAUGGGUGGAAUGAGUUCAAGACCCUCGUCUUAUCGCUGACAUUUUGUCGUAAGAAUCCGCGGCGACCUAGCACAGUAAUGCUAAUUGCUCCCGAGCAAACAGUCUUAUUCUCCCUAGGAGACCCAUUGGAAACACGUGGGUCAGGCGUCGGUUAUCGGCUCCAUUUUAAUUUAAAUGCCCCGGAGGCAUUGACUUUUCCACGCCCGUUACGUCACGGCUCCAACGUAACUUCUGGGCAAUACCCCACAAAGUCUGUGCCAAAAAUUUUUAUUGCCUAUAAAAAGCUAAAGAGUGCA